rnacentral:rRNA from 1 species
GACGAACGCUGGCGGCGUGCUUAACACAUGCAAGUCGAACGGUAAGGCCCUUCGGGGUACACGAGUGGCGAACGGGUGAGUAACACGUGGGUGAUCUGCCCUGCACUUCGGGAUAAGCCUGGGAAAAUGGGUCUAAUACCGGAUAGGACCACUGCCUGCAUGGGUGGGGGUGGAAAGCUUUUGCGGUGUGGGAUGGGCCCGCGGCCUAUCAGCUUGUUGGUGGGGGGAUGGCCGACCAAGGCGACGACGGGUAGCCGGCCUGAGAUGGUGACCGGCCACACUGGGACUGAGAUACGGCCCAGACUCCUACGGGAGGCAGCAGUGGGGAAUAUUGCACAAUGGGCGCAAGCCUGAUGCAGCGACGCCGCGUGAGGGAUGACGGCCUUCGGGUUGUAAACCUCUUUCAGCACCGACGAAGCGCAAGUGACGGUAGGUGCAGAAGAAGGACCGGCCAACUACGUGCCAGCCGCCGCCGUAAAAC